rnacentral:rRNA from 1 species
AGGACGAACGCUUGCGGCGUGCCUAAGAAAUGCAAGUCGAACGGGAGCUUCGGCUCUAGUGGCGAACGGUCGCGUAACACGUGGGCAACCUGCCCUGAAGCGGGGGACAACAGUUCGAAAGGACUGCUAAUACCGCAUGUGGUCAUAUUUGGCAUCAUUUAUGACUAAAGGCUUCGGCCACUUCAGGAUGGGCCCGCGGCCUAUCAGCUAGUUGGCGGGGUAACGGCCCACCAAGGCUUCGACGGGUAGCUGGUCUGAGAGGACGACCAGCCGGAUUGGGACUGAGAUACGGCCCAGACUCCUACGGGGGGCAGCAAUUAGGAAUCUUGCGCAAUGGGGGCAACCCUGACGCAGCGACGCCGCGUGAAGGAUGACGUCUUUCGGGAUGUAAACUUCUUUCUCAAGGAGAAGAAUGUGACGGUACUUGAGGAAUAAGCCCCGGCUAACUACGUGCCAGCAGCCGC